AGUGAACGCUGGCGGCAGGCCUAACACAUGCAAGUCGAACGGCAGCACAAGAGAGCUUGCUCUCUGGGUGGCGAGUGGCGGACGGGUGAGGAAUGCAUCGGAAUCUGCCCAUUUGUGGGGGAUAACCUCGGGAAACCGGGACUAAUACCGCAUACGACCUACGGGUGAAAGCAGGGGAUCUUCGGACCUUGCGCAGAUGGAUGAGCCGAUGCCGGAUUAGCUAGUUGGAGGGGUAAAGGCCCACCAAGGCGACGAUCCGUAGCUGGUCUGAGAGGAUGAUCAGCCACACUGGGACUGAGACACGGCCCAGACUCCUACGGGAGGCGGCAGUGGGGAAUAUUGGACAAUGGGCGCAAGCCUGAUCCAGCCAUGCCGCGUGUGUGAAGAAGGCCUUCGGGUUGUAAAGCACUUUUGUUGGGAAAGAAAAGCAGCCGGUUAAUACCCGGUUGUCAUGACGGUACCCAAAGAAUAAGCACCGGCUAACUUCGUG
rnacentral:rRNA from 1 species